AGAGUUUGAUCCUGGCUCAGGAUGAACGCUGGCGGCGUGCCUAAUACAUGCAAGUCGAGCGAGAUGUUAGCGCAUGAACCUUCGGGGGAUUAUGCUAACGGACAGCGGCGGACGGGUGAGUAACGCGUAGGCAACCUGCCCCUGACAGAGGGAUAGCCAUUGGAAACGAUGAUUAAAACCUCAUGACACCGUAGAAGCACAUGCUUCAUCGGUCAAAGAUUUAUCGGUCAGGGAUGGGCCUGCGUCUGAUUAACUAGUUGGUGAGGUAACGGCUCACCAAGGUGACGAUCAGUAGCCGACCUGAGAGGGUGAUCGGCCACAUUGGAACUGAGACACGGUCCAAACUUCUACGGAAGGCAGCAGUAGGGAAUCUUGCACAAUGGGCGAAAGCCUGAUGCAGCAACGCCGCGUGAAGGAUGAAGGCCUUCGGGUUGUAAACUUCUGUUCUAAGGGAAGAAACAAAUGACGGUACCUUAGGAGCAAGCCCCGGCUAACUACGUGCCAGCAGCCGCGGUAAUACGUAGGGGGCAAGCGUUAUCCGGAAUUAUUGGGCGUAAAGAGUGCGUAGGUGGUUACCUAAGCGCAAGGUUUAAUUUAGAGGCUCAACCUCUACUUGCCUUGCGAACUGGGCUACUUGAGUGCAGGAGGGGAAAGCGGAAUUCCUAGUGUAGCGGUGAAAUGCGUAGAUAUUAGGAGGAACACCAGCGGCGAAGGCGGCUUUCUGGACUGUAACUGACACUGAGGCACGAAAGCGUGGGUAGCAAACAGGAUUAGAUACCCUGGUAGUCCACGCCGUAAACG
rnacentral:rRNA from 1 species